AUAUAUUUAUAUUAUGAAGAUAGAAAAUUUAUUUGUUUUAUAUAGAUAGAUAUUUUUGAUCGAGGGUUUUAUUUUGCAUUAAUAAAGAGAGAGAAAAAGUAGCUGAGAAUGAAGAGUUAUUUUCAUUGCAGGUCACUUUAUGAGUUUUAAUAUCAUUCUAGAUCACUUUAUGCUCCCAACACACUUUCUUUAACUAUUUCCAUUACUCCUUAACCAAAACAAAACUAAAUCAUAACUAAUAGGACCUACUUCUUAUUUUUAUCUUUCUCAUCUAGUUGUUUUCCAUUUUUCGAUGAUUAUCUUUAUCAAUCUGAAUUUUAAUCCUAAAUGUUUUAGUUAUUUUAUUUAAAGAUUUUGAAUCGCAAGUUCAAACCAUGAGCUCAAAUCGGACGAACUAUGAUUGUUCGUGCCCAGAAGUAGCUAGUAUCCUGCUCAUUCCACGCCGCAGCCUCACCUCAGCCGCGAUGCACUCCUCCGUCAUCACAUGAAGCACGACCUCUGAACCCUCUCCACCAUGAUUCAUCACCAUCGUAUCACUUUUCUAAAGCUGCAAGAAUCGUCAUGACCAGUUUGAGCUUCUCUGACGCGGUUAUCCAUCGUCGCAAGAGGUCGACGAAGAACAAUGGUGACUUUUGGCUUUAUUUCACAAUUGGUCCUUUGACUUUUGAAUAUAUUCUUUCUGCCCCAAAAGAUUCUUUUAUUUGAAAAUAUACCCUUUCAAAUUGACUCCACACUUUUUAAUUGUGCAGACCCAACCUUCCAUAAUUACACGAACGGGUCCUUGACCUUGUGAAUGUUUCUAUUCGACACUUUAACUUUGAAAAUUGCCUAAUUAACCUCUUAGUGUAGUAAUAAACAUUCACUUGUGCAUUCCAAACCUUGUCUAAUGCCAAUAAACAUAUAAUACAAUAUAUACACUUAAUAUGCAAACAAUAUGAUUAAAAUGAAUUAAAAACAUGAGCCAAAACUUAUUUAAAUAGUAAAACAUCAAAAAUAAAUAAUUUUAUAGGGUGUACACAAAACAAGCAUGUACAUGUGUACAAUACGAGCAAGCUUUGAUUUUUUUCAGCAACGGCUAAAUCUCUGUCACAACUGCAAUUGAACAAUCGUUGCAGCAGCUCUUAAACAAGGUGUGAAAGAAGAUAUUUGGGUUCAGCUAUAUGCAAAGAUGCCUCUACCCUAUAAUCGUCGAAGACACUAUCAAAAUGGGUCUUAUUGUUCGGAGGUAAAUGUGUACUGCGUGGAAACUCAAUGUGUGUUUGUGUACACAUGUACAAGACGUGAUAAAUGUACACGUGAACAGCUAAGUUAAUGUUACGUGCAUGACACUAUGGAAUGUUUUUGGAUCUUUUUAGGUAUGUAAUAUGAAAUAGCAUGAAUGAGUUUUGUUUGUACAUAAUAUCAUUCGUACUGAAAUGACAUUUGAUUUAUGUGCAUAUAAUGCAAAGUUAUAGCACUGAAAGUGUACUAGAUGGUUGUGUACAUCAUGAUCCGUGUCCAUGUGUACUAGCUCACCUCUUUAUCCACAUGUAGAAUGUAUCUAGGUAUCCAUCUUGUAAGAUAUAUACAUGUAUCAUAUUAUCAAUGUAUCAGUAUCAAGAUAUAUACAUGUACAACAGUUUUAUUUUCUUAUAUUGUAAAGAAUGAUGUACGAAUAAGUUGUGUACACCAUGGGAGGUGUACAUGUGUACAAGUAAGUGAAUCAAAGAGGACAAAUCGUAUAUUCAAGAAUUUUUGGUCAAAUGACAAUAAAGUUAAAUAUGAAGGGUUUAAAAUGAAAAUAAAAGAAGUUGUUUGGUUAACGCUCGCUCAAUCCCAAUCUCAGGCUCGUUUAUCAGUUUGUCAUGGGAGGAGCUCAAUCAAAGCAAAGGAUCGUGGCGAGAGAAGGUCUCGGUGGUAGGAUAAGGUUGCGGCGAUGACCUUAAAUCGUUGAGAAGAUCUGAAAUCUUGAGAACAAAAAGGACUGUGGCGGAUAGGAGCUUGUCGCGGCAAACUGGAGCUUGUCGGUGGAGCUCGGAUGGAGCCAUGAAUCUCUGACUUUUCAAGCUUGUGAUUCACAAAAAGAGGUGAGUUUACCGUUGACUUCUGGCGGACUAAACCCUUCGUAAUCUAGGGUCACGAGCUCCGCCGUGACGGCGCCUGUUAGCUCAGCCACAAGAACAACAAUUGGAAUUUGCUUCAUAACUGGUUCAACCUUGCGGUGAUGGUCGUCGUGGAAAUCUAAAGAAUUUGCCUCCUUCAUUUUUUCUCAAUGUUUGUUAUGUCAUCGGAUAUUCACCAAAGAUAGGAGAAUUUCUUUUUGUUAUUUUUAAACUUCUUUAACAUCGUUUUUUUGGGCAAAAAAGAAAAAAAAAGAUGUUAAAAGAAGAAAAAUGACUCGAUUUGGAACCAAGAAAAAUUUUGUAAAACAAAAAUUCUCUGAACCAAGAAAAAGAAAGAAGAACUCGAUUUGGAAAAGAAGAAGUUGAUAAGAGAGAGAAGGAUGGGUCCCAUUAGUUAGCUCAUUUAGUUAGUUUAUAAGUAAAAAGUGAAUUUGGUUAAAGAAAACUACCCUAGUAGAAAUAAGUGUCUUAUAGUGUAAUAAUAAACUAGAAAAGUGACUUAUUGUGUAAAUGUUUCGAGAAUGAAUUAGGGAUAAGGGAGUCCGAUGAUCCAUCAUUCCUAAAAUAAGACUUUGACCUGCCACGUCACUGAUUCAUUAUCAUCAGAAACGCCGCCGUCUGAUGUUCCAAAGCCGAGACAGGGGGCGAUAGCGAGAGAGUAUGG
rnacentral:lncRNA from 1 species